rnacentral:rRNA from 1 species
UGGGGGAUAUUGCACAAUGGGCGAAAGCCUGAUGCAGCGACGCCGCGUGGGGGAUGAAGGCCUUCGGGUUGUAAACUUCUUUUGCUCUGAACAAGGCAUGCUAAUGGGUGUGUUGAGUGUAGGGGUUGAUUAGCGCCGGCUAACUACGUGCCAGCAGCCGCGGUAAUACGUAGGGCGCGAGCGUUGUCCGGAAUUAUUGGGCGUAAAGGGCUUGUAGGUGGCUGGUUGCGUCUGUCGUGAAAGCUCAUGGCUUAACUGUGGGUUUGCGGUGGGUACGGGCUGGCUUGAGUGCAGUAGGGGAGGCUGGAAUUCCUGGUGUAGCGGUGGAAUGCGCAGAUAUCAGGAGGAAUACCGGUGGCGUAGGCGGGUCUCUGGGCUGUUACUGACACUGAGGAGCGAAAGCAUGGGGAGCGAACAGG